rnacentral:rRNA from 1 species
AAUCCAUAGGUUAAUGAGGCGAACCGGGGGAACUGAAACAUCUAAGUACCCCGAGGAAAAGAAAUCAACCGAGAUUCCCCCAGUAGCGGCGAGCGAACGGGGAGGAGCCCAGAGCCUGAAUCAGCAUGUGUGUUAGUGGAAGCGUCUGGAAAGGCGCGCGAUACAGGGUGACAGCCCCGUACACAAAAGCGCAUGUGCUGUGAGCUCGAUGAGUAGGGCGGGACACGUGGUAUCCUGUCUGAAUAUGGGGGGACCAUCCUCCAAGGCUAAAUACUCCUGACUGACCGAUAGUGAACCAGUACCGUGAGGGAAAGGCGAAAAGAACCCCGGCGAGGGGAGUGAAAAAGAACCUGAAACCGUGUACGUACAAGCAGUGGGAGCACAGGUUUACCUGUGUGACUGCGUACCUUUUGUAUAAUGGGUCAGCGACUUAUAUUCUGUAGCAAGGUUAACCGUAUAGGGGAGCCGGAGGGAAACCGAGUCUUAAUUGGGCGUUAAGUUGCAGGGUAUAGACCCGAAACCCGGUGAUCUAGCCAUGGGCAGGUUGAAGGUUGGGUAACACUAACUGGAGGACCGAACCGACUAAUGUUGAAAAAUUAGCGGAUGACCUGUGGCUGGGGGUGAAAGGCCAAUCAAACCGGGAGAUAGCUGGUUCUCCCCGAAAGCUAUUUAGGUAGCGCCUCGUGAAUUCAUCUCCGGGGGUAGAGCACUGUUUCGGCUAGGGGGCCAUCCCGGCUUACCAACCCGAUGCAAACUGCGAAUACCGGAGAAUGUUAUCACGGGAGACACACGGCGGGUGCUAACGUCCGUCGUGAAGAGGGAAACAACCCAGACCGCCAGCUAAGGUCCCAAAGUCAUGGUUAAGUGGGAAACGAUGUGGGAAGGCCCAGACAGCCAGGAUGUUGGCUUAGAAGCAGCCAUCAUUUAAAGAAAGCGUAAUAGCUCACUGGUCGAGUCGGCCUGCGCGGAAGAUGUAACGGGGCUAAACCAUGCACCGAAGCUGCGGCAGCGAACGUAUCACCCAAGACAACUUUACGGAGUUGACGAUUGACGGAGCGAAGCGACGUCAAAGCGUUCAUUAAAGUCGAGUUGGCUUAGGGAUACGUUCGUUGGGUAGGGGAGCGUUCUGUAAGCCUGUGAAGGUGUGUCGUGAGGCAUGCUGGAGGUAUCAGAAGUGCGAAUGCUGACAUAAGUAACGAUAAAGCGGGUGAAAAGCCCGCUCGCCGGAAGACCAAGGGUUCCUGUCCAACGUUAAUCGGGGCAGGGUGAGUCGACCCCUAAGGCGAGGCCGAAAGGCGUAGUCGAUGGGAAACGGGUUAAUAUUCCCGUACUUGGUGUUACUGCGAAGGGGGGACGGAGAAGGCUAUGUUGGCCGGGCGACGGUUGUCCCGGUUUAAGCGUGUAGGCUGGUUUUCCAGGCAAAUCCGGAAAAUCAAG